GACGUAGGGCGCGAGCGUUGUCCGGAUUUAUUGGGCGUAAAGAGCUUGUAGGUGGUUUGUCGCGUCUGCUGUGAAAUCCCUCGGCUCAACCAAGGAAGUGCAUCCGAAACUGCUGAGCUUGAGUACUUAAGAGGAUCGCGGAAUUCCCGGUGUAGAGGUGAAAUUCGUAGAUAUCGGGAGGAACACCAGUGGCGAAGGCGGCGAUCUGGGAAGAUACUGACGCUGAGGUGCGAAAGCGUGGGGAGCAAACAGG
rnacentral:rRNA from 1 species